GACGCAAUCACCGCUGCUCCUUCCCCCUCCCCCCACCACCGGCGAAACCCAGACCCACGCCGAUCCCUUGCGCGCCGCCACCAGGGCCCUCUCCGCCGCUCCACAGCGUCGCCAGCUGAUAGUCCCGAGGAACCCCCCCCCCCCCCCGCCCCCCGGGUAUCGUCCGCGGCUUCCACCGAUCCCUCUCCCCUUCUCGCAUGCACCGCGCCGCCACACAUCCUUCUUAGAUACCUAGACCGAGCGCUCGCCAUCGCCGUCACGCCGAUCCUCCGCCUCUCGUGUUGCCGACGCCCCGCCAUUGCCCGCAUCGAUCGGCGCCACACAUAGGUGCUGCCUUCGUGGCUUAGUGCCGCCUGGGAGACGAUAUCCGCGAAGUACGUGAUGCACUGAUGCACCCCUCUGCUGAUGACCACCGGGACAACCUAUGCGGAGCUGCGUAGCACGCCCCCCUUUCCCCACCGCUGCCUCUUUCCCCAACGACUUCACUGUUUUCUAGAUCUGUGACGCUUGGAUGUUGACGACGACGCUGUCACGGGCUCACGGCGCUCGGCCAUGUCUGGGAUGUGCAAGCCAGUUUCCCCUGCUCGAUGGGCGUCAUGUCCAGGGAUAGCUGAUGCGGCAGGACAACUGGUUAAGGGAAAUAUAAAGCACCUGCUGCAUAUGAGGAGCACCAAAAGUAAUAUGUAGAAGGCCGUGUGUGGAAUUUUGCUACAAACGCAAGAUUUCUGCAGUGGAAUUUGGUUGUGUUUCUUCAUCUACUGGUUGGAUGCGGAAGCUUAUCAUGCAGGUAAACGUCUGCUGCUACUCAGAGUAGAAGCAUCUCUGCAAGAUAUUUCUUAUCCAUUUUCAUGUCAAUACUCAUAAGGUGCAAUUGAACCAUGAUGCAUAAAUAUCUUUACAACUAUAUCUGAGAAGGAAUUGUUGAUAAUUUGUUUCUGUUUCAGUAGCCAAAUUGCUGAAAAGUAGAAACAUUGGUAUUCAGGCGAAGGUAUUCCAACUUUACUUUUGGGUAGUUUGUGAAUAUGGGUUCAUUUAUGCAAACCAGAAGUGGAAGUGGGACUCAUAAGAUAUUAGUGUAUAAUCUGCGAUACAUGUACUUGAAGUGGAAGUGAAUGGCAUAAUGGCUUUGCUUAAAAUUAGUUUCAAUAUGGCAUGAUACGAGAUGCCAUUGUCAGGACACUUAUUUAAGCAUGCCAUUGCAUGAUAUAUAUAUCUGUUCUUCACAUCCAGUACACCGGCAGGGGAAGAAGAGUUAUAUGCAGCCCAUUUAAUUUCUAAGAUUUUUGUAGACAGCAUCAGAUAGUACUGUUUGUUGUUUGCCAUGGAGGUGCGGCAGCAGGGCAAGUAGGAACACAUGUAUACUCCAUUCCAAACUUAUAACUUCACUAGGCCAUGCAAACUUGGAUAAAAUAAGUUAAGUAUUGGAUGGAUGGAAGUUGCUUCUAUCUAUACUAUAAAAAACCCUUGUAGCUGAUUCGGUGUGGGUUGUUGCGCCCCUCGAAGGUACUCUUGGCAGCCACCGUGUAUUGAUCUGAUCGUCUUGAUCACAGACACUGAAACUUUAUAGCGGUGACUUUUUUCGGUGGAUUAAUUUGUUAAA